UAAUCAUUUAUAUUUUUAUUAUUCUUGCGUCUGUUUCAUCAGUACCAUUAACACCAAUUAUAAUCCAGAUUAUCGAAUAUAUGGAAGAUAUCACAGUUAACACUAUGUGUGAAAGAAAGGCUGGUUCAAACUAACAAAUCUAAAAAUGUUCUUUUCUCUAAUUAGCAAAUCACACUAAUACUUUGCCACAAACAAAUGUUUUACAUGCGCAACAUAGUUGCAGUUCUUGUUACCUUGGAGGAGACGCUAGUCUAUAGUAACUAAUUUUCCCAUUUAAGCCUUAAAAAAUUUGGAAGCUACUUUAUGAUGAUGGUUAAUAAACAUAUGAGUGUUCUACCCAUACAAGUGAAGAGUAGAUCGAAUCUUCAUAGCUCUAGAAAUAAAUGCACUGCUUUUUAAAGAACACCACAUUUCCUGGCUGCCGUGGAAAUACAACGAGCCACACUCCAUCACUAUUCUAUAAAUUGCGCGAGAGAAAACUAAAAGGAUGGGUAAUGUUCUACGUUAAAAUUAACACUAAUUAAACGAGAAAGAUGGUGAAGCUGACAAAGAACAGGAUGAUUAGCCGUGAAAUUGCGAGUUCACACUGCCCCUCUGAUACUGCAUAGCGUUACUGGUGGAAUCUACUGUACUGUAGAGCCUGAAUUUUUUUAGUGACGGGAGCCAGUUGGUCCUUAUUUCAUCGACUCCGAAAUUGUGAAAGGCAAAGUCAAACCUCGGCGGAAUUUGAUCUCAGCGUUUUACUAAUAUGUCAAACCACAUAUCUUGUUGCUCUUUGAAGCACAAAUAUCAUGCUUAUUUAUUUAUAAUAUAUGAAUUUUCUCUAGGAUGACUUUAUACUCAAACUCCACUCCGAAAGUUGGAAUUUUGAUACAUGUAGAUUCCACUUGCCCAGCUACUUACGUUUACAUCUGAAUAACAGUAACGUUUGCUUCUGAUUUAGAUACCUGCCAGCAUUUUCAGAGUAAGGGUUUAAUCGACUUGACCGAACUCAGUCCUUGACUGGCCCUCUUUAAUUGAUCCCGAAGGGCAUAGCUGGCCUUGGCGGCAUUUCAGCAGAGAGUGCAAAUAAUUAAAGAAACAAAACAGAAUGGUGAUUUUUCCGAUAACUCCCUCUACGAGUAUUUGUAUCCACUACAACUCUCAGACAACCAACAACUCUUCAUAUGUAUCACUUUUUUUUUUUAUCUCAUUUCCCUUCCCUUCUUUGUAAAAUCACCAUCCUCCAUGACUUCAAACUUCACGCUGCGAGAAUUUUGAAAACAAAAUUAAGUACGUGGGGCGAUCCGUUCAAAAAAAGCGUUUCAAGACGUGCCCCAACAUGACCGCAGUCUAAUUCUGAAGCAAGUAAAAGAUUGAAGCGGUUAGAUUAAUCGAGCUGACUUCUUUACCCUAUGUGAAGGACUCGAAAACUCAGUAGCUAUUGCCACACAUCCUUAUUGUCUAACACUAUAAAAAAAUUAAAAAAUCAUAUUUUGGACAAAGAAAAUGAACGCUAUUUUAUU